ensembl:lincRNA Gm829 predicted gene 829
GGGAGUCUUGUCCUAACAGGGCAGGUCAUAUUGUCUCAUUUUUACUUUUAAUGGAGGAAUAAAUUUUAUAAUUGAGAGCCGUGCUAAACUCUCUACCAGUGGAGCUACAUCCCCAGUGCCUAGGUCAAUUUUUUUCCAGGAAAUAAUGGAUGUGACAUGACUUUGGAAGACAAUUUACAGUGUGAGAAGCAUGGACUCCUGAGUGAUGAAGGCUAUCCAUUGCUGCAUUGAAAGGAACCUGGACAAGUGGCUGGAAGCUGGUCUGACUUCUCUGCCAGAAGUUGCUUCCUCUCCUUUGCUGCUGGGCAGUCACGGAGGCUUCUUGCCCUGACUGCCACGUGCCAGCCACCACCUGUCCUCGCUUGAGUGAGGAGCAGGUGUAGCUCUCUUGGUUCUUCUCAUUGGGCCUAUGAGAGGAUUAAUUAGUUGGGGCUGGGGACUCUGGAUUUGCUGUACAGUGGAGUG